rnacentral:tRNA from 1 species
UCCCUUGUGGCUCAGCUCGUAAAGCAUCCGCCUGCAAUGCGGGAGACCUGGGUUCAAUCCCUGGGUUGGGAA